rnacentral:rRNA from 2 species
GAGUUUGAUCCUGGCUCAGAACGAACGCUGGCGGCAGGCUUAACACAUGCAAGUCGAGCGCACAGUUUACUGUGAGCGGCAGACGGGUGAGUAACGCGUGGGAAUCUACCUUGAGCUACGGGAUAACAGAGAGAAAUUUCUGCUAAUACCGUAUGUGGCCUUUGGGCGAAAGAUUUAUCGGCUUAAGAUGAGCCCGCGUUGGAUUAGCUGGUUGGUGGGGUAAAGGCCUACCAAGGCGACGAUCCAUAGCUGGUCUGAGAGGAUGAUCAGCCACACUGGGACUGAGACACGGCCCAGACUCCUACGGGAGGCAGCAGUGGGGAAUAUUGGACAAUGGGCGCAAGCCUGAUCCAGCCAUGCCGCGUGAGUGAAGAAGGCCUUAGGGUUGUAAAGCUCUUUCACCGGUGAAGAUAAUGACGGUAGCCGGAGAAGAAGCCCCGGCUAACUUCGUGCCAGCAGCCGCGGUAAUACGAAGGGGGCNAG